rnacentral:rRNA from 1 species
UGGGGAAUAUUGCACAAUGGGGGAAACCCUGAUGCAGCGACGCCGCGUGAGCGAAGAAGGUUUUCGAAUCGUAAAGCUCUGUCCUAUGGGAAGAUAAUGACGGUACCAUAGGAGGAAGCCCCGGCUAACUACGUGCCAGCAGCCGCGGUAAUACGUAGGGGGCAAGCGUUGUCCGGAAUCACUGGGCGUAAAGGGCUCGCAGGCGGAAAUGCAAGUCAGUUGUGAAAGGCAGAGGCUCAACCUCUGUAAGCAAUUGAAACUGUAUUUCUUGAGAUGUGGAGAGGCAAGUGGAAUUCCUAGUGUAGCGGUGAAAUGCGUAGAUAUUAGGAAGAAUACCGGUGGCGAAGGCGACUUGCUGGACACAAACUGACGCUGAGGAACGAAAGCGUGGGUAGCAAACAGG